rnacentral:rRNA from 1 species
UACGAAGGGGGGCUAGCGUUGCUCGGAAUCACUGGGCGUAAAGCGCACGUAGGCGGCUUGUUAAGUCAGGGGUGAAAUCCUGGAGCUCAACUCCAGAACUGCCUUUGAUACUGAAGAUCUUGAGUUCGGGAGAGGUGAGUGGAACUGCGAGUGUAGAGGUGAAAUUCGUAGAUAUUCGCAAGAACACCAGUGGCGAAGGCGGCUCACUGGCCCGAUACUGACGCUGAGGCACGAAAGCCAGGGGAGCGAACGGGG